rnacentral:rRNA from 1 species
AUAUCAAUAAGCGGAGGAAAAGAAACCAACAGGGAUUGCCUUAGUAACGGCGAGUGAAGCGGCAACAGCUCAAAUUUGAAAUCUGGCCCUCGGGUCCGAAUUGUAAUUUGUAGAGGAUGAUUUUGGUGCGGUAUCUUCCGAGUUCCUUGGAACAGGACGCCUUAGAGGGUGAGAGCCCCGUACGGUUGAAUGCCUAGCCUCUGUAAAUCUCCUUCGACGAGUCGAGUAGUUUGGGAAUGCUGCUCUAAAUGGGAGGUAAAUUUCUUCUAAAGCUAAAUAUUGGCCAGAGACCGAUAGCGCACAAGUAGAGUGAUCGAAAGAUGAAAAGCACUUUGAAAAGAGGGUUAAAUAGCACGUGAAAUUGUUGAAAGGGAAGGAUUUAUGACCAGACUUUUUCUGGGCGGAUCAUCCGGGGUUCUCUCCGGUGCACUUUGCCCAGUAAAGGCCAGCAUCGAUUUUCGGCGGCGGAUAAAAGCAGUGGGAAUGUGGCUCCCUACGGGGAGUGUUAUAGCCCAUUGUAUAAUACGCUGCUGGGGAUCGAGGUACGCGCUUCUGCAAGGAUGCUGGCGUAAUGGUUAUCAAUCACCCGUCUUGAAACACGGACCAAGGAGUCGAACAUUUAUGCGAGUGUUUGGGUGUUAAACCCUCACGCGUAAUGAAAGUGAACGGAGGUGAGAGCCCGUACGGGUGCAUCAUCGACCGAUCCUGAAGUUUUCGGAUGGAUUUGAGUAAGAGCAUAACUGUUCGGACCCGAAAGAUGGUGAACUAUGCGUGGAUAGGGUGAAGCCAGAGGAAACUCUGGUGGAGGCUCGCAGCGGUUCUGACGUGCAAAUCGAUCGUCAAAUCUGCGCAUGGGGGCGAAAGACUAAUCGAACCAUCUAGUAGCUGGUUACC